rnacentral:lncRNA from 1 species
AUAACAUUUACUACCAGUCAGGCCCAUGAGAUAAAAAGAAAACUAAAAACAGCAAGUGUUUUUGGAGCUAUAGGUAAAAUGUAUUCUAGAGCAUUUCAAAGACAAGUACUUAUUAUUCAUUCUGCCCCUAGAAGCAUAUAUGUAACUGGGACUGUGGGCCCAAUCACUUUAACCUGAAAUACAACUAACGUGUUUUUCCUAUUUUUCACUCUCUGCAUAUUCAUACAUACUGGUUUUCCCCUUUUUUCUCUUCUGAAAACAAUGCACUUUAGCAAAACCACAUUGUAACUGAUCUUGACCUUGUUUUUUCCCCAUCCCCUACAAGAUUCAACUUUCACAGCUGUUGUGACCUGUGGGCCAAGUCAAAACUAAAAGAAGUUUUGUAGUUUCUGAAAUUUUCCCUUCUUUCCAGAAAGGAACAAGAAGUUUUGGAGUGACUGAGCCACUGGCAGCCAGCAACAUUAUCUUUGCAAACCCAGCCUCCCUUCUCGUCUCUCAGGAUCUCAGUUGAUUGAAGAAAGCCACCUGUUCCUAGGCCACUGACUUUCUCUGUAAUCAAGAAAUAAUGACCACAUUCGAGAGAAGAACCUCUUUGUUGGUUCUGGUUUUCUCUUCUACAUGGAUUUUGAAAACAGGGCAAAUGUCAUCUCUGCAGCAUCUUUUCAGACUGCUACGAUCAACUCUUCCUCCUUGGUAUCUGAGUGGCAGCAGGAACUUGCCUUUCGUGGUACAUUUCUUACUUGACUCUACCUGCCUGCUUCUCUGUAAAAAUGUUGAAUUCCAGGUGAGUAGGGACUCUGUUGUACUCUUGUGUCUUGGGUUGGAUUUCAGAGCCUGGUGCUUAGCUUAUGCUUAACUAAAUUGUAAUGAAAUAUGUGAGUUUAGAACAACUUAGUUUAUUCGCAUGUCCAAUAAUCAAGUUAGACCCUAUAUAAUUACAGUGCUUCUGUCUGUGCAGGUGCUAUAUGAUUGUAUCAUUUCAUCUGGCUGCAGGGAAUGAGUUCUACUAAAUGUGUCAAGAGUGCAGAGUAGGGAAAAUACAUGUAUGCAUGGCAGCUAAUGCUAUGAUAAUCAUCUGUAAUAAUAACACGUGUUGAGUACAGAAUAGGUGGCAGGAAUUGUAGUAAACCAAAUAUUUAAUACACAAUUUAAUUUGUUUCUCAUAACAACUUUGUGAAGUAGGUAUUAUUAGCUGAUACCCUCAUUUUAUAAAUCAGGAAAUGGAAUAUCAAAGAGGUUUAAGUAACCCAUCCAAAGCCACCCAGCUGUUAAACUGCAGAGCUGGGGUAUGAACUUGGAUCUGUUGCUCUCUAAAUCCUUUGCCAUUCCCCACUGGGCGGUUCCUACCCUAAGCGUGCAGUGUCCGAGACCCAUUGCAUUGCCCACCCAUUCUAACAACCAUAGCUGAAAGUCCCAGGAAAUAAGGGGGGUUCCUGUCUUUGAAUGAAAAAAUAAAAACUGUUUUAAAAAUUACCUCUUUAAACAGUUACUGAGGAAAACCCAGAAAUAAUAGGUGGAAUUUAAUGAGCCAUUUGGAUGUCUAAGGUACUUUAUCAUAGUUGAAAAUAUCGUACCUUCCUUUGAGAAAUCAAAAUGCUGUACACUAAAUGAAUCAAGGUGGAGGUUGGUGUUCCUACAGCUGUUGGUACUAGCAGUGUGUGCAAGCUAUAUCGGGGGUACGGAGGUUCUAUUUCUUCCAUCAUUCCUGUCGCUCAGCCCAAGAUCCUGUUGCUUCUCUGAAUUGCAUCUGCUUUAUUUGGUAGUACCUGACAGUUUACUAAAGGAAAAAGAAACUAUUGCGGUUUAUCAUUAAGCUCCCAUUUUAAUUACAUUUCUACACACGUAGGCUCUUGGCAGCCUUAUGGUUCAGCUCAGUAUUGCAUACGUUAAUGCUGUUAGGAUGAUGGCAACUAUUAGAUGCUAGGCAGAACAAUCCAUUUCUUCCUUAAGCAAUAAGUAACAUUUAGGGAUACGCUAUUGAGAAUAUUGGAAAGUGAGCAAAGCACUGAGGCAUGGAAAGGGGCUCCCCAUUGAAGCUGAACCCUGUGCUGCCACUCCCCCCAGUUCAGAGACAGGCCAUCAGUCACCCCAGUGUCCUGGAUGUGCCUGGUCAUGACAGGGCCUUGGAGGUUUAGAGUGGAAGACAAACAGCUCAAUGCAUUAUAAAGAGCAAGCAAGCAAACAAACAAACAAACUUAAAUAGCCUCAUCCUCAUAUCCUUCAUUGGAUAAAUUUCUGAGGUAAGAGGGAUGCCAUUCUAUCACACAGUGAGUCCGGCAGGCAAUGAGCUUGCUUCCUCUCUUCACUUUUCCCCCUCUGUCAGGCUCAGCGACCCCUCUUUUAUUCCUCACUAGAUGAGGUGGAACAGCAGUGCCCUUCUCUCUAAUAUGUUUCCCUUAGUCAACAUAUGGGGUCUAACCAUUUUGAGAUGUACUCUGGCCUGGUCUGAAAGCUUGUCUUAAUCAGUGAACUAUGUGGUAGCAGUGAUUUCUUUGAAUUCAUGUGAUGCAGUGGAAAGAAUGAGGUGGCAGGUGGUAGGAUAACAAAUAUCUUCAUCACUUUCUCCCAAGCAAAUGGAACACAUUAAUCCCCCUUGUCUAUGGGAAAACAAUCCAAGGCCCCCAGAGGAUGCCUUAAUUCGCAGAUAGUACUAUAUCCCAUGUACAUUAUGCUUUUUCCUAUGCAUAUGUACUAUGAUAAAGUUUAAUGUAUAAAUUUGGCAUAGUAAGAGAUUAACAACAAGACUUGAUAAUAAAAUAAACAAUUAUAAUAAUAUAGUAUAGUAAGAGGUAUAUGAAUAUGAUUGCUCUCUCAAAAUACCUGAUUAUGUGGCCUCACCAUUCCUGUGAUGAUGCACACUGAUAAAAUGCAUAGUGCUGAGGAGAAGUGAGGUGAAUGACACAGGCAUUAUGAUGGAACACUUGGCUACUAAUGACAUAGAUCACAGCAUUGCGAUCCUUUUACAGUUGAUGUGUUAACCAAGACAGCUACUAAGCGACUAAUGGACGGGGAGCAUCUACAGUGUAGAUACGCUGGACAAAGGGAUGAUCCAUGGCCUGGGUGGGACAAAGUGGGGUGGCGUGAGAUCUCAUCAUGCUACUCUGCAGCACAUGCAACUGAAAACUUGUGAAUUAUUUCUGAAAUUUUCCACUUCAUAUUUUUGGGCCAUGAUUGAGUGCUCAUAACUGAAACCUCAGAAAAUGAAACAGCAGAUAAGGAGGGACUACUGGACUCUUGUUAAGUAUUCAGAAAGGAGGGGGACUGAUGAGUGUUUGAUCCUCUGAAUGAAAAUGCGCUCUUGCUCUUUGAAAUUAUUUUUAUUACUCCCUAUAUUAUGGCCCACACACAGCAACAAUGUACAAAAAUGGAAGUAAACCUGUAUAAGAUAAUGGAGAAGGAAAUGUGAAAAAUACAUCUGAAAAGAAACAAAGCAAAAUGAACCCAUAAGAAAUUGUUUAUAAAUUAUGUGAAGUGUCAUAAUUUGAUGUGUUGUUGCCUCUGAAAGCAAUGGUGUUAGUUACCACUUGGUUGAUUCUAAUAAACUACUACUUGUAGUAGUUAAAAGUCGUUUUCUAAAUUUGUUAUAAAAGACAAAGAUUUAACGUACAGCAUAAGAGUCACAUGCUCUUACAUGUGGUGGUUUGAAAAUCACCCACUUCACUCACUCUACUCACCUCAUUAUGUUCCCUUCACCCUCCCAAAGAGGAGUUGCUGUUUUAAUUGAGCUCUGUCUAUCUGGACUUUUCUUUGGAUGGUUUUAUAAUGUCACCCUAUCAUGGUGAAAAUUUUUUAAACAAGCAAAUGACUGUGGAAAUGUUUCUUGGCAUCACUUUCUAAAACAUGGAGGAUAACAGAAUUUGAAGAAAGUUCUUUCUUCUCUAUAGAACCAUUCUUCACCAUUCACAUCACUUCUGCUUAUCCAACACACCUGGGAAUUGCUACUUUGGCCAGAUUUAAAGACACAAAUUAGGCCCACUUUGUAUGGGGGUUAAAUCUGUCACAAAGUGUUAUACAUGAAUGAAGCUCUAUCAUUUUUGUUUCUUACUUCCAUGUGGUAAGUUGCCAUGAUGGCCCCACUCUCUGUCUCUUUCAGUCUCUCACUUACAUUGUAAAAAGAACAAAUGAGGCCGGGCGCAGUGGCUCAAGCCGUAAUCCCAGCACUUUGGGAGGCCGAGGCGGGUGAAUCACAAGGUCAAGAGAACGAGACCAUCCGGGUCAAUAUGGUGAAACCCUGUCUCUACUAAAGAUACAAAAAAGUAGCAGGGCACGGUGGCGUGUGCCUGUAAUCCCAGCUACUCGGGAGGCUGAGGCAGGAGAAUUGCCUGAACCCAGGAGGCAGAGGUUGCGGUGAGCCGAGAUCGCGCCAUUGCACUCCAGCCUGGGGAACAAGAGCGAAAUUCUGUCUCAAAAAAAAAAAAAAAAAAAGAACAAAUGGAGUUGGCCUAACUUUUAGCGGCAUGAUGAGCUGUCUUGACUUCACAUCAUUGCUUUCAUACAUUGGGUUGCUCGUUAAUUUGGGCUCAGCAGCUUGUUAGAGGGGAAAUGAAAACUUAAACCUAAGACCAAAAAAGGGCAUUUCCUUCCCUCUAAAUUAAGCACUUCAACCCAUAUUUAUUAUAGGGUGUAACUGGGAGUUAUGGACACUUGAAUAAUUAUAAUAAUGUAAUUAAACUUCUAAUUUGUUACUCUCUCAUGUGUGUGUAGCUCCUUUUGAAAUCUCGUAUCUUAAAAAUGAUGGGAACUUGUAGGAACAAUGAGACCGUAAUCAAUCACAUGCCGUAGCUCAGUAUAGUAAAGAACCUUACCCUCAUUCCUAAUAUUUUGAUUAUUGUCUAUUUUUCAGU